rnacentral:tRNA from 1 species
AUUGUGGCUCAGUGGUUGAGUGCUCUCCUCAUACGUGUGAGGCCCUGGGUUCGAUCCUCAGCACCACAUA